rnacentral:rRNA from 1 species
CCUACGGGCGGCAGCAGUGAGGAAUAUUGGUCAAUGGGCGCGAGCCUGAACCAGCCAAGUAGCGUGAAGGAUGACUGCCCUACGGGUUGUAAACUUCUUUUGUACGGGAGUAAUAAUGGUCACGUGUGGCCAGACGAGAGUACCGUACGAAUAAGCAUCGGCUAACUCCGUGCCAGCAGCCGCGGUAAUACGGGGGAUGCAAGCGUUAUCCGGAUUUAUUGGGUUUAAAGGGUGCGUAGGCUGUGAGGUAAGUCAGCGGUGAAAUGCCCCCGCUCAACGGGGUGAAGUGCCAUUGAUACUGGCUGGCUGGAGUGCGGAUGCGGUGGGAGGAAUGUGUGGUGUAGCGGUGAAAUGCAUAGAUAUCGAGAGGAACUCUCGUGGCGAAGGCGGGUUCCUGGACUGUAACUGACGCUGAGGCACGAAGGCCAGGGGAGCGAACGGGAUUAGAUACCCGAGUAGUC